rnacentral:ncRNA from 1 species
GGGGGAGUAUGGUUGCAAAGCUGAAAUUUAAAGGAAUUGACACCACCAGGAGUGGAACCUGUGGCUUAAUUUGACUCAACACGGGAAACCUCACCCGGCCCGGACACGGAAAGGAUUGAUAGAUUGAUAGCUCUUUUUCAAUUCUGUGGGUGGUGGUGCAUGGCCGUUCUUAGUGGGUGGAGUGAUUUUUCUGGUUAAUUCCGAUAACGAACGAGACUCUGGCAUGCUAACGAAUUAUGCGACCCCCGAGCGGUCAGCGUCCAACUUCUUAGAGGGACAAGUGGCUUUCAGCCACCCGAGAUUGAGCAAUAACAGGUCUGUGAUGCCCUUAGAUGUCCGGGGCUGCAUGUGUGCUACACUGACUGGCUCAGCAUGUGAUGGGAAUCGGUGAUUGCAGUUAUUCCCCAUGAAUGAGGAAUUCCCAGUAAGCGUGGGUCAUAAGCUCGUGUUGAUUAAGUCCCUGCCCUUUGUACACACCGCCCGUCGCUACUACAGAUUGGAUGGUUUAGUGAGGUUCUCGGAUCGGCCCUGCUGGGGUUGGUCAUGGCCCUGGUGGAGUGCCGAGAAGAUGCUCGAACUUGACUAUCUAGAGGAAGUAAAAGUCGUAACAAGGUCUCUGUAGGUGAACCUGCUGAAG